UACUGGAGCGGCCUUGUCCUGAUGU
rnacentral:piRNA from 1 species